UACGUAGGGGGCUAGCGUUGUCCGGAUUUAUUGGGCGUAAAGAGCGUGUAGGCGGCGCGGUAAGUCGGGUGUGAAAUCUCGGAGCUUAACUCCGAAACUGCAUUCGAUACUGCCGUGCUUGAGGACUGGAGAGGAGACUGGAAUUUACGGUGUAGCGGUGAAAUGCGUAGAUAUCGUAAGGAAGACCAGUGGCGAAGGCGGGUCUCUGGACAGUUCCUGACGCUGAGGCACGAAGGCCAGGGGAGCAAACGGG
rnacentral:rRNA from 1 species